GGUGAAAACAACCCCUAAAUGAAAAGUGACAAGAUAUCUUUUAAAAAUUAUUAAUAUUUUAUAAAAAUUGGUAUCUGGGGGUUUUCGGGGCCACUGAUUAUUAAUCUGAUGUCAGAUUUUCAAAAUUCAAAAUGGCGGAUCCAAUAUGGCGAUCAAAUUUUUAAAAAGUUAUUAAUUUUUUAUUUUAUAUCCGCCAUUUUGAAUUUUGAAAAUUUAACAUCAGAUUCGUCAUCAGCGAGCCAAAAAACCCCUAGAUAUCAAGGUUUAAAAAUAAUUUAAGGGGGGCGCCUACUUUAUCGGGUCAAAAAAAUCGAUUUUUUAAAAGUUGUCUUAACUGAAAGUACAACUAUCAGAGAAUAUGCUCUUAAAAUAUUACGUCAAAGUUGCACUUAUCUACUAUUACACCUACCAUUAAAAUUACCAUUUAUCAGUAAAAUGUCGUCUUAUCCAAGAGCUACCCAUAAAAAAAGUCGUUCAUCGAGGCCUGUGACUGCCGUAUGUUUUUAAUAAAUAGUUUUUCAAUCUUUAAACUCGUUUUUCUCAAAACACUGUUUUUGUAGUUUGCGUACACGAUAGACAAAAAUCUAUUCAACCGAUUAAGAUAAGAAUUGUGGACCCUAGGUUGUACGCAAUGGGAAAAUUUCAGCAGCGAGGCGUUAUAUAUAUGGCGUUUAUUUUAUUAUUAAAUUCUAUUUUCAUUUAAUCAAAAAAUUAUAUUUCAAAGAUUUAAAUAUAUAAGAAAACAUACACUAAAUCUCGCAUCGAUUUAUUUAAAUGUGUUUGGGAAAAAAAUUCCUGAAAUGUACGCAGUUUUUUACCUUCUAAAGUAGGCGCCCUUCAUAAUAACUUUUUAAAAUUUUGACCGCCAUAUUGAAUCCGCCAUUUUGAAUUUUGAAAAUCUGACAUCAGAUUAAUAAUCAGCGACCCCGAAAACCCCCAGAUACCAAGUUUUAUAAAAUAUUAAUAAUUUUUAAAAGAUAUCUUGUCAUUUUUUAUUUAGGGGCUGUUUUCACCCCUAAAAAUCACAAACGACUUGAUCUAGCAAAACGGACAGAUACGGGUAAUUUUUUUGGGUCCUAGUUUCCAAAAAUGUUGGAUUUUUUGUGGGUCAAAAAAAUAGUUCAAUUUUGUCAGACGGUAUUAUAUUACAUUAUAAAAAAAAAUUAAUUAGUAAUGCAAUAGAAAUAAAAAAGAUUUAUAAAUUUUCAAAAAAAAUUAUAAUUUUGUCCUUAUUAAGGCUGAUUUUAUUGAUUUUGGCGCAUGUUGGUUCUAAUUAUUGAUGAAAAUUAGCAUUUUUUAAUUUUAAAAAGUACUAUUGUACAAAAUAAAAAAAGGAAAAAAGAUUACAUAAGUAUGUAAGGAGUAAAGAAAAAGUAAAAAAAAAACGAUAAAAGAGAUGAAGUAAUAGGAGAGGUAAAGAAAAGUAAAAAGAUCUAAAGUUAAAGAGUAUCUAAGAAAGUGCAAGAUGAAAGAAGAGGGAGGUAAAAUUCUAAAAAAGGGUAAAGCGAAAAAAGGCGUCAAGAAAGAAUAUGGAUUAAAGUUUAAAAAGAUAGGAUGGGCACUAGGAGGUGGAGGUAUAAAGAUAAAGUUCUAGAGAUUAUUUCUAAGUAAUCAAAUCCACAUAUAUAUUUUUAAUACUCACAAAUUGUUUGCAGUAAAAUUUUUAGAUUUUAUUAUAUAUACUUAAAAAAAUUUUUUAAUCAAAUUAUAUUUUUACUGUUUUAAAGAAAUGGAAAAAGUGGUAUAGCUCCAUUUCAAGUCAUAAGUCUAUGGUAUGAGCAUUGUUAGUUGUUUUCAUAUAUCUUAUUCUUAUAGAAAGUUGGAAAAAGUAUAAAAUUCACGAAUAAAAAGAAUCUUUUUUUUCUCCAACUAUCAUGAAUUGAAAAAAUAUAAGUCUUUAAUUUUAAGGUAGAUUCACUCGACUGUGGGUUCUCGCUCAUCGAGGUGGCACGGUCUAAUUGCAAUUAACUUGAGCGGUGAGUUUAAGAAAUAAAGAAAGCAAAACGUUUUCGUUUACCGGGGCGCCAUGGAAUACUUGCGAGCUUUUCGGUCUCGCUUAAUCUCCUCAGAGUUCCGGAUGAAAACCGAAAUAAAGUAAAAAGUUAAGGAAGGCAAAAAGAGAAAAAGAAAACAAGUAACCCUUGCACGGAUGGAUUUAAAAACUCGACGCUGAAGGUCCAAUGAAGAAUGAGCAAUCGAAGAAUUGUUCGAGCAACAGAAAAGUGAUGUUGAAAGGUAGUCCAUUCUGCAUAUCUGAUGAGAAAAUGCACGUAAUUUUUUUCCA